AUUGAACGCUGGCGGCAGGCUUAACACAUGCAAGUCGAGCGGAGCGAGGGUGCUUGCACCUUAGCUUAGCGGCGGACGGGUGAGUAAUGCUUAGGAAUCUGCCUAUUAGUGGGGGACAACAUUCCGAAAGGGAUGCUAAUACCGCAUACGCCCUACGGGGGAAAGCAGGGGAUCUUCGGACCUUGCGCUAAUAGAUGAGCCUAAGUGGGAUUAGCUAGCUGGUGGGGUAAAGGCCUACCAAGGCGACGAUCUGUAGCGGGUCUGAGAGGAUGAUCCGCCACACUGGGACUGAGACACGGCACAGACUCCUACGGGAGGCAGCAGUGGGGAAUAUUGGACAAUGGGCGGAAGCCUGAUCCAGCCAUGCCGCGUGUGUGAAGAAGGCCGUUUGGUUGUAAAGCACUUUAAGCGAGGAGGAGGCUCUUAAGGUUAAUACCCUUGAUGAGUGGACGUUACUCGCAGAAUAAGCACCGGCUAACUCUGUGCCAGCCGCCGCAGUAAGAC
rnacentral:rRNA from 1 species